UUGGGAUAGCUCAGUUGGUAGAGCAGAGGACUG
rnacentral:tRNA from 9 species